GGGACAUUGGGAUUGAGCCUUAGUUUGACUGUCUGAGAAACUCAGCCAGUGACCUGCAGCCUUUCUGUGCACAAAAGAAGAAGAAGGAAAAUCAGCCUCAAGCUUGUGGGUUUGACUCUCUGACAGCACAGCUUGUAAAAUGCUUUCCAGCACCCAGUGAACAACUUCAUGCAAGCUUCAGGUUUCAUCUUGCACCCUCAGAUAAAAAGUAAAUAAAGUUUUGAAUCAACAUGUCACUUAGUAAAGUACAGUGUUGUUCCUCAUUUGGAGCCCCGGCCCUUUAAGCUCUGCACUCACAGGUGAUGGUAAUGAUGCUGAUUAAGGUCUAGGGUGCACACUGGGUCAACCACCAACAGAUGAAAGAUGAAUCACUGUUUGUUUCAGUAUCAGUGUUUCAGAAACUGGGAUUUCCAUAAAUUAACAUUGACUGACAGAUUGUUGGUUUGGAUCAACGAAGAGUUUGUCGUCGGGAUUUUCACGCUGCAUGGCAUCCUAUCAGCAGGGGAAGAUUGUCAAGCGUGCAGGACUCGUCACGUGCAAAGUUAAUGCCUGAAGACACACUCGCAUCAAACUAAUGCCUGAAGACACACAUGCAGAAGAAGGCCUCUGAUGCACACGCUAACCUGCUACUUCCAGGUCCCUCAGAAGACGUUCCGUAUCGAUAAUCCAGCUCGUCCGUCUGACCUUUAACCUCAAAAUCCGACGUCCUCAGGUGUGUCUUUGCUUUCUGUUUUCUCCUCUUGUUCGCCCUUUUUCAAAGCGAAGAUAAACUCGCCAGAUUUCAGACAACUUUUUGAGGCAGAAUGAAGUGUUGGUGAAAUCAUUUAUGAUCCCUGCUACAAGGAUCCAUUAUGUAGGAUGAGUUGUGCUUGUUUUUUUUGUAAACCAUAAAUCCUCAGAGAAAUCAGUCCAAGUAGUUCAUACAGAAGUUUCAGUGAGAUUCAACCGUCUUCUGUUGUUUUCCAGGAUUAUCUAUUUAGCUUCAGAAAAACCCUUAUGAAAGUGAAUUUUCAGUCAGUUCGUAGUGUUUUUCAGUAAAUAUGCACAAAGGUGGGGAAGCCGCUUCAUCUAAAAAUCCCCCAAAUGUGCUUCAUUGAGUUUAUUGAAAGCUUUUAUCAGUCAAACUUCUUCAACAAAGACAUCAAAGUGUCACUUGUGAUAAAAACCCCAGCUGAGUUCACUUCCUGUUGUCGUUUCUCCUCUGCUCUGUCACUCUGAAGACAAAAGCUCUGUACCCACCUCUCAACCACUGAUGAAACAGAGGACAAAAGAAGGAGGAGGACAUUGUUCAGCUUUGUUUAGUUGUUGUUUUUUUCAUGAAGAAGACGAGUUGUGUUUCUCUAACUGCUCCUCACAGUAAACAGCUUUUAUCUGCUGUCCCGCGGGCGGCGAGACGCUGCGUCUUUUCAUCACGGUGAAAAAUUAAUUUUUAUUCAUGCGCGGCAGAUUGUUUCAGCCCUGCAGGGGAGAAGGAGGAUGAGGAGGAGGGGGAGGAAGAGGCAAAAGCUCUUCAGUUUGUGCUUCAAACUGUUCAAAUGUAGAAAAUUCAGUUUAGUUUGUGGGCGUCCUAGAAAAUAGGGAUUGAUGUAGGUGAUGAAGGAGGAUGAAGGAGGAGGAGUGUUUGAUUUAAGUUCCACCUACACACUGUUCACACUGACCUCUCAGUGAGUGUGUUUGGUUUCAGUUUGUCCUUUGUGUGCACAGUUACAUGUGUGUUCAUAGCAUCACAGUCGCACACAAACGCACAUUAUGUGGAGCAAAGUCUGUCAGUUUGUUGGAAGUGUGCAGCUCAAAUGGCCAAAGAAAGGUGAAGGAAAGAUAAUUUAAAAGGGAUUAUUAAACCUCAGUGACCAGAUUUAGCCUUCUGGUUGCCUGGUUUUAAUACAUUUGCUCUUAAAGUGAGAAUAUAACAAAAAUAUGUCCAAGUUGUGGUGCUUAUAAAACGCCUCCCUGCAGAUAUGAAACUGUAAAAAUGUUGUGCUCUCGCCUUCUGUUUCCAGUAAAAGUAACACCUACUAAGUCACAGAUACAUAAAUGAAUGUAUUAUUUCUAUUUGAGCUCUUAAAUGACGAAAAGAGGUCUUUAAUUUCCCUGUCAGUAUUUGUAGUUUUUCCUCCACUGAGAUCUGCUCAGUUUGAAUCAAAGUGCCACCUCCUCUUCUAAAACUGGUUAAAGCUAAAGUAAAAACCAACCGUGGUGCUUUUUCAAGGCUGUAAUGUCUCACAUAUCUUUACAAACCACUUAGCCAAAUGUUUAGUUAUCUGUCUCCUGAGGUUUGUUUCGAGCCGCAGUGGAAACGAGGCCAGUGACGAUUAAUAAGACAUGAAGAAGAAGAAAAACUCGUAAAGAGUUCCAGCAGUUUUUCUCUUCAGUUCAAUAAUUCAUCUGAACACCAGCGAGUGAUUAAAGCAACUUCCUUUCUCCCCAAAUUGACAAAAGGAUCCACAGCAAACCUUCAAUAGUGAAUCUGAACAGUUGGAUUUCUGCUUCUGGAUCAGGACGAGGAGAGGCUCUGAAGAACUUCAGUCAAAUAUUGAAGUAUUGCUAACAGAGCUCGCCUCAAUAAUUCAUCUAACUCGAGUUUUAACAAAUCUGAACCCAGCAGCUCAAAACACAGAAACAUCUGUGUUGUCUGCUUCCUGCUCUGCUUUAAACAUCCUGAUUUCGUCUUUUCCGUAAAAUAUUUGAAACAUGAUAUGAAAUUGUUUCUCAAACCAGUGUAAACAGUGUUGUGUGCAUUUUUAUGGCUGAAUUAUUAAUAUUUGUUUGUGCUUUGAAUUGAUACAAAAAUGUCUUUGAAAUCAUAAAAUAAUCAUACACAAAAUGCACUUUUUAGCACCUGAAUAUUUAUGUCAAAGUGACAAACUGUUAAUGAUCUGAACACAGCUUGUGCUCGCUGGUUCAAACUAGUUGUUUAACCUCAUAAAAAGCAGAACUAUACUUUCAGCACGUGGAUAUCUGUUUGAAUAUCUGUCGUACUUUGUGCUUAAAAGGUAUCAAAUCCAGAGCAGCUGGAGUUUUUUUCAUUUGAGAGAUAAAAGCAGUUUGUGCUUUGUGUUUUUGACAAAGGUUUAGUAUAAUUUUUCGCUCGUAAAUGUGGGCUCUUUCGGACAAAAAGUCUAUUUGUGCUUAAAGAACAGGACACAUUUGAAAUCUAUAGUCCAUGUGGUGUUUGUGCUUUGAGCAGCAGCAUAUUUCCUUUCAGUCUUGGCUGUCUAAAUUUCAUCUAAGAAACACUGAUGACGUUUUUGUGGCCUCACAGGUCCUGCGGUGUUGGUAUCAAAAGUAUCACAAGUUUCAAAGGAGGUUUUGUGCAGGUACAUUUGUGUUGGUAUAUGCAUCAAUUAACGUGUAGUUUGACUUUUCUGUCCGGAAAGUUGUGAAGACGUGGGCUUGUUUUACCGCCCUGGUCCAGAUUGGCCUUUUUCUUUCCAACUGUUACCUCAGAACCUUUUUCUAUCAGCUCACACUCCUUUUGUGUGUACAGUUUAUAACUGUGUGCAUCAAUCAGUGUUAAGGGUGGAUCAACCACUGUGCUUUUUCCUGAAGUCUUAUUUUUACAUUUGAAAGCACUUUACUGUUGCUUCAAAGAUAAAUCUCUGAGCUCCACGUUCAUCUGAUAUUUAGAUCGUUUCUUACAGGCUGUUACUGUCACUCCAAAGAGGCAUUAGUAUAUAAAAAUGUGUAAAGGUUGG